ensembl:lncRNA
CAGCAUGAGGUAAUACAGUAGGGGGAGUGCUGCUCAGCGUGAGGUAAUACAGUAGGGGGAGUGCUGCUCAGUGUGAGGUAAUACAGUAGGGGGAGUGCUGCUCAGUGUGAGGUAAUACAGUAGGGGAGUGCUGCUCAGCGUGAGGUAAUACAGUAGGGGAGUGCUGCUCAGUGUGAGGUAAUACAGUAGGGGGAGUGCUGCUCAGUGUGAGGUAAUACAGUAGGGGAGUGCUGCUCAGCGUGAGGUAAUACAGUAGGGGAGUGCUGCUUAGUGUGAGGUAAUACAGUAGGGGAGUGCUGCUCAGUGUGAGGUAAUACAGUAGGGGAGUGCUGCUCAGCGUGAGGUAAUACAGUAGGGGCAGUGCUGCUCAGCGUGAGGUAAUACAGUAGGGAGAGUGUGAGGUAAUACAGUAGGGGGAGUGCUGCUCAGCGUGAGGUAAUACAGUAGGGGGAGUGUGAGGUAAUACAGUAGGGGCAGUGCUGCUCAGCGUGAGGUAAUACAGUAGGGGGCGUGCGAGUGCUUCUCAUAUGGA